rnacentral:rRNA from 1 species
UGGCGGACGGGUGAGUAAUGUCUGGGAAACUGCCCGAUGGAGGGGGAUAACUACUGGAAACGGUAGCUAAUACCGCAUAACGUCGCAAGACCAAAGAGGGGGACCUUCGGGCCUCUUGCCAUCGGAUGUGCCCAGAUGGGAUUAGCUAGUAGGUGGGGUAAAGGCUCACCUAGGCGACGAUCCCUAGCUGGUCUGAGAGGAUGACCAGCCACACUGGAACUGAGACGCGGUCCAG